rnacentral:rRNA from 1 species
AAUGGACAAGUUCGAAGCGAACAGAUAAGGGAGCUUGCUCCUUUGACGUUAGCGGCGGACGGGUGAGUAACACGUGGGUAACCUACCUAUAAGACUGGGAUAACUUCGGGAAACCGGAGCUAAUACCGGAUAACAUUUGGAACCGCAUGGUUCUAAAGUGAAAGAUGGUUUUGCUAUCACUUAUAGAUGGACCCGCGCCGUAUUAGCUAGUUGGUAAGGUAACGGCUUACCAAGGCGACGAUACGUAGCCGACCUGAGAGGGUGAUCGGCCACACUGGAACUGAGACACGGUCCAGACUCCUACGGGAGGCAGCAGUAGGGAAUCUUCCGCAAUGGGCGAAAGCCUGACGGAGCAACGCCGCGUGAGUGAUGAAGGGUUUCGGCUCGUAAAACUCUGUUAUUAGGGAAGAACAAAUGUGUAAGUAACUGUGCACGUCUUGACGGUACCUAAUCAGAAAGCCACGGCUAACUACGUGCCAGCAGCCGCGGUAAUACGUAUGUGGCAAGCGUUAUCCGGAAUUAUUGGGCGUAAAGCGCGCGUAGGCGGUUUCUUAAGUCUGAUGUGAAAGCCCACGGCUCAACCGUGGAGGGUCAUUGUAAACUGGGAGACUUGAGUGCACAAAAGAAGAGUGGAAUUCCAUGUGUAUCGAUGAAAUGCGCAUAGAUAUGGGGGAAACAC